UACGAGAGGCCCAAACGUUAUUCGGAAUUACUGGGCUUAAAGAGUUCGUAGGCGGCAUGACAAGUCGGGUGUGAAAGCCCUCGGCUCAACCGAGGAAUUGCGCUCUAAACUGUCGUGCUUGAGGAACCUAGAGGUGAGCAGAACAGAUGGUGGAGCGGUGAAAUGCGUUGAUAUCAUCUGGAAUACCGGAGGCGAAGGCGGCUCACUGGGAGUUUUCUGACGCUGAGGAACGAAAGCCAGGGUAGCGAACGGG
rnacentral:rRNA from 1 species